rnacentral:snRNA from 1 species
NNUAGCAUGGCCUCUGCGCAAGGAUGACACGCAAAUUCGUGAAGCUGUUCCAUAUUUU